GGGCUCGUAGUCUAGCCAGGAUUAUGACGUGGGACUUCGGAUCCCAAGAUCAGGGGUUCAAAUCCCCUCGGGCUCG
rnacentral:tRNA from 1 species